GUGCUUGCUUUGGCAGCACAUAUACUAAAAUGGGAAUGAAACAGAGAAGACUAGCAUGGCCCCUGCACUAGGAUGACACACAAAUUCCUGAAACAUUCCAUAUUAUA
rnacentral:snRNA from 1 species